rnacentral:tRNA from 1 species
GUGGGCGUAGCUCAAUGGCAGAGCACCUGACUGUGGAUCAGGUGGUUGCGGGUUCAAGUCCCGUCGCCCACC